rnacentral:lncRNA from 1 species
ACAAAAAGGAACCCAAUAAAUUAAAAAACACUGUAACAAGUGAAAUGUGCCUUUGAUGAGCUUAUCAGACCGGACAUGGCUGAGAAUCAGUGAACUUGAGGAUAUGUUAACAGAAACCUCCAAAACUCACCUUUUCAUUUAUUUGCUGCCAUAGUCUCUCAGUGAUCUGAGCAGUUAAACAUGAGGGAUAAAAUAAUAUUGAGCCAUUGUAAAUUGAGGUGAAGUAACUUUUAUCUCUUCUACAUGGUCUAGACAUUGUUUUUGUAAGAAAAAGAAAGAAAGAAACUUCUGAAACUCAAAGACAAAGAAAAAAGCCUGAAACAGAAAAAAUACUCAAGCACUGUAGGACAACUACAAAAGGUGCAUCAUAUAUUUCGGAAAACAGAAGAAGAAAGCGGGAAGAGGACAGAAGAAAUAUUCGAAACAAUGAUGAGAGUCUCUCAAUAUAAUAUCAGACACCAAACAAUGGAUUCCGGAAGCUCAGAGGACACCAAGUAAGAGAGACGUCCCCAAAAUCUACACCUAGGCCUCUUAGAUCCACACUCACAAAUUCAAAGUUAAAGAGAAAAAUCCCAAAAGAAGCCAGAGGAAGGAAACACCAUGUGUAGCCAGAAGAAGAAUUAAAUCAGAAUUCUUGGAAACCCGAGCAGUGAAAAGAGAGCAGAGUGAAAUAUUUAAAGUGUAAAGAGAAAAAAUAAAUAAAUAAACCCCAUCAACCUAGAAUUCUGUAUUUUGUGAAUGGAUCCUUCUGAUGAAAUGAGAUGAAACGAGAACUUACACAGACAAACAAAAAAUUGAGUCCUGGGGCAGGAGAGCUACUUUGCACGAAGUGUUUAAAACAAAACAACAACAACAACAACAAAACUUGCAGGGGAAGAAGCUUCAUGCAGGCCAGAGGCUGAGACGAUAUAAACUAGGUAAGAGCAUUAGAGAAGGAGCUACGGCAAAAUCAAAACUUUUUUUUAUUGUAUAUCGUCUGGGGAUCAAACCUGGAGCUUCACACAUGCUAAGCACACAUCUACCAUCUUGGGCCCUAUUUUUCAUAUUCUGACCACAGCCACAUAUUGAGUGAUUGCAGUCAGUGGAUAAGUGAGAUGAAAGGCCCAGGGCAGCAGGGAGGGAGUCAGGCUACUCGGGUUAUUGUGUUCUCACGGCCCAGGAGGUGGCACCGUAUUUAUUUGAGUGGACUCUAACUUGUCAAAAUUUGUCAUAGACAGUGAACUCAGUGAUUGAAGGAAAUUCAUAGCACGGACUGCAUUUAUUAGAAAAGAAGGAAGAUCUAAAAUCAAUAGUCUAAGCUUUCACCUUAGAAAACUAGAAAGAGCAAAUUGAAUCCCAAGUAAGCAGAAGAAAACAAAUAAUGAAAAAUAGAGCAGAAAUCAAUGACAUGAAAAACAGGGAAGCAAGAGGGAAAAUCCAUAAAACCUGAAGCUGCUUCUUGAAGACGUCAUUAUAACUGAUAAGUCUCUAGCCCAAGCCAGGCGUGGUGGAGCACACCUGAAUCAACUCAGGAGACUGAGGCAGGAGGAUGGCAAGUUCAAAGCCAGUCUCAGCAAUUUAGUGAGGCCCUAAGCAACUCAGUGAGACAUUGUCUCAAGAUAAAACAGAAAAAGGCUGUGGACGUGACUCAGAGGUUAAACACUCCUGGGUUCAUUCCCUAGCACCAGGAAAAAGAAAAAAGUCUGUAGCCCAGCUGUGAAAAAAAAAGGCAUGAAUUACUAAUGUCAGAAAAGCAGGGGCUGGGGAUGUGUCUCAAGCGGUAGUGCGCUCGCCUGGCAUGCGGGUGGCCUGGUUUCGAU